UACGGGGGGGGCAAGCGUUGUCCGGAAUUAUUGGGCGUAAAGCGCGUGUAGGCGGCUUUGCAAGUCGGGUGUGAAAGCCCUCAGCUCAACUGAGGAAGUGCGCCCGAAACUGCAGAGCUUGAGUGCCGGAGAGGGUGGCGGAAUUCCCCAAGUAGAGGUGAAAUUCGUAGAUAUGGGGAGGAACACCGGUGGCGAAGGCGGCCACCUGGACGGUAACUGACGCUGAGGCACGAAGGCCAGGGGAGCAAACGGG
rnacentral:rRNA from 1 species